rnacentral:misc_RNA from 1 species
GAUGAAGAACGUAGCGAACGUGCGAAACGUAAUGUGAAUUGCAGAAUUCAGUGAAUCAUCGAAUCUUUGAACGCACAUUGCGCCCGCCAGUAUUCUGGCGGGCAUGCCUGUUCGAGCGUCAUUACAACCCUCAGGCCCCCGGGCCUGGCGUUGGGGAUCGGCGGAAGCCCCCUGCGGGCACAACGCCGUCCCCCAAAUACAGUGGCGGUCCCGCCGCAGCUUCCAUUGCGUAGUAGCUAACACCUCGCAACUGGAGAGCGGCGCGGCCACGCCGUAAAACACCCAACUUCUGAAUGUUGACCUCGAAUCAGGUAGGAAUACCCGCUGAACUUAAGCAUAUCAAUAAGCGGAGGA